GGAUGUGAGGGCGAUCUGGCUGCGACAUCUGUCACCCCACUGAUCGCCAGGGUUGAUUCAGCUGAUCUGGCUGGCUAGGCGGGUGUCCCCUUCCUCCCUCACUGCUCUAUGUGCGUCCCUCCCGAAGCUGUGCACUGGGUUGAAGAGGACAGCCUUCCCCAAAUAGAGACAGACCGGUCAAGGGUAUAGGAGUAGCUGCGCUCCCCUGCUAGAACCUCCAAAACGAGCUCUCAAGGAAAAGGAAGUUCAACAAAGGCUUGAUUUUCCUUUGAUUUUUUU
rnacentral:snRNA from 1 species